GAUGAAGAACGCAGUGAAAUGCGAUAAGUAAUGUGAAUUGCAGAAUUCAGUGAAUCAUCGAAUCUUUGAACGCACAUUGCGCCUGCCAGCACUCUGGCAGGCAUGCCUGUUCGAGCGUCAUUUCAACCAUCAAGCCCUAGGCUUGCGUUGGAGCCCUGCGGCUGCCGCAGGCCCCUAAAAGCAGUGGCGGGCUCGCUAUCACACCGAGUGCAGUAGAUUACUCUUCGCUCAGGGCGUGUGGCGGGUUCCAGCCGUGAAACCCCCUACUUCUCAAGGUUGACCUCGGAUCAGGUAGGAAUACCCGCUGAACUUAAGCAUAUCAAUAAGCGGAGGA
rnacentral:misc_RNA from 1 species